rnacentral:rRNA from 1 species
UACGUAGGGUGCGAGCGUUGUCCGGAAUUAUUGGGCGUAAAGGGCUCGUAGGCGGUUUGUCGCGUCGGGAGUGAAAUCCACUGGCUUAACUGGUGGCUUGCUUUCGAUACGGGCAGACUGGAGGUAUGCAGGGGGAGAACGGAAUUCCUGGUGUAGCGGUGAAAUGCGCAGAUAUCAGGAGGAACACCGGUGGCGUAAAGGCGGGUUCUCCUGGGCAUGCCCUGACGCUGAGGAGCGAAAGUGUGGGGAGCGAACAGG